rnacentral:lncRNA from 10 species
GGACGAGGGGCACAGGGACUAGGGGCACUGGGACGAGGAGCCUGGGGACGAGGGGGAUGGGAGCAAGGCGAGUGCGGAUCUUUUACGUCUUCACAGGUGGCCUUAACGCCUGCCAUUCUCCACAGAGGGUAGAGUUGCAGGAGCUUCCACUUUGAUUUUCCCACUACAAGACUCACUCUGUUGAUCAAGGAACCAGUUGAGGUUUUGCCCAGUUGCCAGGAAGAUCGCACCACUGCUCUCCAGCCUGAAUGACAGAGUGAGACCCUGUCAAAAAAAAAAAAAAGGCAAGGUUUUCUUCCAAGUGGGAAGAAAGAUGGUGGAUAGGAUUUUUACGGAGUGUUGAAAGAGCUACUUGGAGAAUCAGAAAGAAGAUUAGUUGUUGGGAGGCACAGAGUGAGUACUGAGAAAACCAAGGGCCCAACUGAGGCUUGAAACUGCCAAUUCUCCAUUUACUGUCUUUCAGCUUCAAAUACAUACUUCAUCGCCUGCUUGGUGAAAAUGGAGCUGGGCCCUAAAUUGUUUCUCCUUUAAAGCAGGAGUGAUUGCCCAUUGACUGUGGACCAGCUCUGGCUACGGGAAAACCAGAGAACCUCUCCAUCAUCCAUACUGCACCAAACAGCAUCUCUGCAACCACACCUUUUCCAAGAUUUGAGCCCCAGCCUUGGGGAGGAGGCCAUCUUUCACAUUUUCUCCUUCCUUGGGAACUCUCUGUCAGCCCAGAGUAUUCUUUUGCAUUAUCUU